CCCGCACAUCGGACUGGAGACAAACUUGCCCCUGGAGAAGCCCUUUCAGAGAUGCCUCGAGGCAGAAGAGGACACAGAUCCAGCACGGACAUUCUCCCCGCAGCUCAGCACUCCCCGGGAGGGAACACCCAGAUGGGGAAACUGAGGCACGAGCCUGCUUGCUCAAGACCUCGCGGCAAGCUGGGAGUGAAUCCAGGCUUCCCAGGUCUCCCCAGCUGUGCCCGGAGCCGGGAUCAGGCAUUGCCCUGCAACAUCCCAUCCAGGAAAUUCUCCUACCUUCAUUAGUGCCGGCUCCUAAUUAAAAGGCUCUCAAAAGCCCACGGCAAGGACGUGAACCCGCAUCCAGGUGGCUUUGUGGAGGUUCCAGCAGCUGGAUGGAGAGCUGGGAUUGAUUUUUCUAGGGAACCUCUGCAUUUAUACAUUUGUUUUUCUUCCCGCUGGGGGGGAACAGGCGGCGUUCUGGGGAUGCUGCUUUGAGCCUUUAUUUCUACCAGGAUCUAGAGAAGCAGGGAAAAUGCCAUCCCCAGCUCACAGUCAGACGAUUCAGGGUGGGUGAUAAAUGGGGUUCUGCAGUGGAAAAUUCCCCCCUGCCCUGUUCAGUGUGGGCAAAGCCUGUUUCCCAGUAAAACCAUUCCAGGGCUCAGCCAUUCCCAGCACCCCAGGAACCCCUCCUGAGCCUCUCCCUGGCUUAUCUGGCAUUUCAACACAUCUUACAAUACUGCAAAGCGGGGAUGAGGGAAAAAAGAAACGUUUUAGGUCCGUGUUUGUGGGUUCUAAGAUCUCCCUCCAGCAAGGAUGGGAUUAAGGCCAUUGGCUCUGAGUAGCCAGAGCAGUAAAAUCUGUGCGUGGCUAAGCUGCAA